rnacentral:rRNA from 1 species
CAUUUCCGUAGGUGAACCUGCGGAAGGAUCAUUACCGAGUGUAGGGUUCCUAGCGAGCCCAACCUCCCACCCGUGUUUACUGUAACCUUAGUUGCUUCGGCGGGCCCGCCUUUAAGGCCGCCGGGGGGCAUCAGCCCCCGGGCCCGCGCCCGCCGGAGACACCACGAACUCUGUCUGAUCUAGUGAAGUCUGAGUUGAUUGUAUCGCAAUCAGUUAAAACUUUCAACAAUGGAUCUCUUGGUUCCGGCAUCGAUGAAGAACGCAGCGAAAUGCGAUAACUAGUGUGAAUUGCAGAAUUCCGUGAAUCAUCGAGUCUUUGAACGCACAUUGCGCCCCCUGGUAUUCCGGGGGGCAUGCCUGUCCGAGCGUCAUUGCUGCCCAUCAAGCACGGCUUGUGUGUUGGGUCGUCGUCCCCUCUUCGGGGGGGACGGGCCCCAAAGGCAGCGGCGGCACCGCGUCCGAUCCUCGAGCGUAUGGGGCUUUGUCACCCGCUCUGUAGGCCCGGCCGGGGCUUGCCGAACGCAAAACAACCAUUCUUUCAAGGUUGACCUCGGAUCAGGUAGGGAUACCCGCUGAACUUAAGCAUAUCA